UACGUAGGGGGCUAGCGUUGUCCGGAUUUAUUGGGCGUAAAGAGCGUGUAGGCGGCCAGGUAGGUCUGCUGUGAAAACUCGAGGCUCAACCUCGAGACGUCGGCGGAAACCAUCUGGCUAGAGUCCGGAAGAGGAGAGUGGAAUUCCUGGUGUAGCGGUGAAAUGCGCAGAUAUCAGGAAGAACACUCGUGGCGAAGGCGGCUCUCUGGGACGGUACUGACGCUGAGACGCGAAAGCGUGGGGAGCGAACAGG
rnacentral:rRNA from 1 species